rnacentral:misc_RNA from 1 species
AAGUCGUAACAAGGUUUCCGUAGGUGAACCUGCGGAAGGAUCAUUAUUGAAAUAAACCUGAUAGGUUGUUGCUGGUUCUUUAAUGAACAUGUGCACGCCUGUCAUCUUUAUAUCUCCACCUGUGCACCUUUUGUAGACCUGGACAAGUUUCUUAAUGCUAGCAUUAAGGUCUUGGGAUUGACUUUUGUCUCUCCUUAUAUUUCCGGGUCUAUGUUUAUUCAUAUACCCUAAUGUAUGUUAUAGAAUGUAUCAAAUGGGCCUUUGUGCCUAUAACACUAUACAA